CUUUAGUCCUUCCUCCAAGCAUACAACAACAAAGAGAACCCUCCAUUACUCCCGCAUGAUCUAGUAGAUGAAGAACAUGAACUUCUCCCACAGUCGCUACUCUCCUCUGCCCACUGCAACACACUAGAGCACGAUGGCGACGGCGAAAGUGACAUCGCCGCCGGCUUCAGUGUGUGCCCUACCGAUGACCAACUCUUCCUUAUCAGCCUCUUCUCUAGGCCUACCAUCUCCGGCCACACUCCGCCAUCACCAACUUGGAAAAUAAACACGCCAUGACCAUUACUGUUACUACCAUUACCACUAACAGCACCACCGCCAUUGUUAUCAUUGCCGACCCAGUUGAAAACGUCCCAGAAGAAUUCGACUUCCAUGCCACCGACGAAAAUUCUUUCAUUUCCUCUGAAUUUCCAUGUCAGUCUCUUUAUGACGAGGCUUAUUUCGCCAUCAACUUUUAGUACAAGCGUUCCUCCAUUGCAUUCUAUUUUAAUCUCACGUUUGGACCCCAAGAACUUAGCUCUAGAUAUGUAACUCUUACGUCCAAACACAUGCUCCCUCCGAGACAGCAGAAUCG
rnacentral:misc_RNA from 1 species